UCUUGACAGAUCCCUUCGGGGUGAAGAUAAGAUGGAUUAGCGGCGGACGGGUGAGUAACACGUGAGUAACCUGCCUUAGACAUUGGGAUAGCCUCGGGAAACCGGGAUUAAUACCAAAUGAAAUCAUAGGUGCCCAUGCACUAAUGAUCAAAACUCCGGUGGUCUAAGAUGGACUCGCGUCCCAUUAGCUAGUCGGUGAGGUAACGGCCCACCAAGGCGACGAUGGGUAGCCGGCCUGAGAGGGUGAACGGCCACAUUGGAACUGAGAAACGGUCCAAACUCCUACGGGAGGCAGCAGUGGGGAAUAUUGCACAAUGGAGGGAACUCUGAUACAGCGACGCCGCGUGAACGAUGAAGGCUUUCGAGUCGUAAAGUUCUUUUAUAUGGGAAGAUAAUGACGGUACCAUAAGAAAAAGCCCCGGCUAACUACGUGCCAGCAGCCGCGGUAAUACGUAGGGGGCUAGCGUUGUCCGGAAUCACUGGGCGUAAAGGGUUCGCAGGCGGAAAUGCAAGUCAGAUGUAAAAGGCAGUAGCUUAACUACUGUAAGCAUUUGAAACUGCAUAUCUUGAGAAGAGUAGAGGUAAGUGGAAUUUUUAGUGUAGCGGUGAAAUGCGUAGAUAUUAAAAAGAAUACCGGUGGCGAAGGCGACUUACUGGGCUCAUUCUGACGCUGAGGAACGAAAGCGUGGGUAGCAAACAGGAUUAGAUACCCUGGUAGUCCACGCUGUAAACGAUGAGUGCUAGGUAUCGGAAUAAUUCGGUGCCGCAGUUAACACAUUAAGCACUCCGCCUGGGGAGUACGUGCGCAAGCAUGAAACUCAAAGGAAUUGACGGGGACCCGCACAAGCAGCGGAGCAUGUGGUUUAAUUCGAAGCAACGCGAAGAACCUUACCAGGGCUUGACAUACUGAGGACCGGUAUAGAGAUAUACCCUCUUCUUCGGAAGCCUCAAUACAGGUGGUGCAUGGUUGUCGUCAGCUCGUGUCGUGAGAUGUUCAGUUAAGUCUGGCAACGAGCGCAACCCCUAUCUUUAGUUACCAGCAUUUCGGAUGGGGACUCUAAAGAGACUGCCGAUGAUAAA
rnacentral:rRNA from 1 species